UACGGGGGGGAGCAAGCGUUGUUCGGAUUUACUGGGCGUAAAGGGCGCGUAGGCGGUCGUGACAAGUCACUUGUGAAAUCUCCGGGCUUAACUCGGAACGGUCAAGUGAUACUGUCGGACUAGAGUACAGAAGGGGCAACUGGAAUUCUCGGUGUAGCGGUGAAAUGCGUAGAGAUCGGGAGGAACACCUGCGGCGAAGGCGGGUUGCUGGGCUGAUACUGACGCUGAGGCGCGAAAGCCAGGGGAGCGAACAGG
rnacentral:rRNA from 1 species